rnacentral:rRNA from 1 species
AUUGAACGCUGGCGGCAUGCUUUACACAUGCAAGUCGAACGGCAGCACGGACUUCGGUCUGGUGGCGAGUGGCGAACGGGUGAGUAAUACAUCGGAACGUACCCAGUAAUGGGGGAUAACUAUCCGAAAGGAUAGCUAAUACCGCAUACGCCCUACGGGGGAAAGAGGGGGAUCGCAAGACCUCUUGUUAUUGGAGCGGCCGAUGGCUGAGUAGCUAGUUGGUAGGGUAAAGGCCUACCAAGGCAACGAUCAGUAGCGGGUCUUAGAGGACGAUCCGCCACACUGGAACUGAGACACGGUCCAGACUCCUACGGGAGGCAGCAGUGGGGAAUCUUGGACAAUGGGCGCAAGCCUGAUCCAGCAAUGCCGCGUGCGUGAAGAAGGCCUUCGGGUUGUAAAGCGCUUUUGUCAGGGAGCAAAUCCUUGUGGCUAAUACCCACCGGGGAUGAGAGUACCUGAAGAAUAAGGACCGGCUAACUACGUGCCAGCAGCCGCCGUAACAC